GACGAACGCUGGCUGCGUGCUUAACACAUGCAAGUCGAACGCUGAAGCCCCAGCUUGCUGGGGUGGAUGAGUGGCGAACGGGUGAGUAACACGUGAGUAACCUGCCCCUGACUUCGGGAUAAGCCCGGGAAACUGGGUCUAAUACCGGAUACGACUAUCGGACGCAUGUCUGGUGGUGGAAAGUUUUUUCGGUUGGGGAUGGGCUCGCGGCCUAUCAGUUUGUUGGUGAGGUCAUGGCUCACCAAGACGACGACGGGUAGCCGGCCUGAGAGGGCGACCGGCCACACUGGGACGGAGACACGGCCCAGACUCCUACGGGAGGCAGAAGUGGGGAAUAUUGCACAAUGGGGGAAACCCUGAUGCAGCGACGCAGCGUGCGGGAUGACGGCCUUCGGGUUGUAAACCGAUUUCAGCAGGGAAGAAGCCUUCGGGUGACGGUACCUGCAGAAGAAGUACCGGCUAACUACGUG
rnacentral:rRNA from 1 species